CUCAGUGCCUUCCCUCAGCCCCCCGCAGCUUUCUCUGAGCUCCUUCCCCCAGCCCCUUGGUGCUAUCACUUAGUCCCCCUCAGUCCCCUGAUGCCUUCCCUCAGUCACCUUGGUGCCUUCCUUUAGCAGCCUUCCCUCAGCUCCUUCCCUCAGCCCCCCGCAGCCUUCCCUAAGCCCGUUCCCUGAGCUCCCUGGUGCCUUCCCUUAGCCCCCCUCAGUCUCCUGAUGCCUCCCCUCAGUCCCUUCCCUGAUCCCUUCAGCACCUUUCUUCAGCCCCUUCCCUGAUCCCUUCAGCACCUUUCUUCAGCCCCUUCCCUCAGCCCCCCACAGCCAUCCCUGAGCCCCUUGGUGCCUUCCCUUAGCAGCCUUCCCUCAGCUCCUUCCCUCAGCAGCCUGGUGCCAUCCCUCAGCACCCUUCAGCCCCGUCCCUGAUGCCUUCAGCACCUUUCUUCAGCCCUUCUCUCAGCCCCUUGCCCCUCAGUCCUCACCUCAUGUCCCGGGGCCUCUCCCUUACCUCAGUCCUUCUCUCAUGCCCUCAGUGCUUUUCUUUGGGCCUUGGUGCCUUCUCUGGUCCCUCUUCAGGCCCACCCCACAGGGCCUUCCCUCAUCCUUUCAGUGCUUAUCUUCAGCCCUUUUCUCAGCCCCUUCUUUCACCCCUCAGCACCCUCCUUCAUCCCCUCGUCCCUUCACAAAAUCAUAGAAUGGCCGAGGUUGGAAGGGACCUCUGAACAUCAUCCAGUCCAACCCCCUGCUGAGCAGGACCACCUAGAGCACGUUGCGCAGGAUGGCACCCGAGAAAAUCUGUGGCCUGCUGGAUCACCCUCUUUGUCUCCUGCCUGUGAGAGCACCCAAAGUGUGAACUGCCCACUUGGCUGGGAUCUGGAUGGGAGGAGGUUGCUUGUGGCUGAAGGUACACGACUGGAGCCAAGGGGACACAAGCUCGUUCCGUGACCAAAAUGUUACUGCUUGAUCAUGGCAAAACGUGAGGCUACGUGUAUGAGACUCCAGAUCUUCUAAACAAAAUGUCUCUUUCCUCUCUUGAAGUAAUUGGUCCUGUAGUAAUUAAGCAGAAGGAGCAUUCGCAAUCAUUAUUAUCUUCAGAGUUGUAAACAUGCUUCAGAGCUGGUAUUUGCUGGAGUAGGUUGUACCACUGUUAUCGCAGGCUGUCUGCAGUUGCAGGGAAGUGACAUUCAUAGUGGAUUAUAUUCUCCUAGAUGGAAAUAUAGAUUGUGUCCAUGACCCUCCCCAAGAACUGCUUUUAUUCCACUCUCGGUGAUUUCCAGCCUCUAUCUCCUUCCACGUCAUCCUGCCUCCUCCCCAGCGAAGCGGCAUGUGAAGCUCGGGAGGUGCUGUGUGCUGAGCCACGUCGGCCCAUGCAGUGAUGCUUAAACCCUUCCCUCAGGUACUAUAAACCAGUCAUAUUCAUACUUUACGGAGGAGAAAACUGAGGAAAUGAGUGCUUUGCUGGAGGCCAGAUGAGAACUUUGUAAGGCUAGAACACAAUCAUUCCUAGCCUUUUGUUCUAACCAGCUGCUUUCAGGUGUUGUACAUACAUGAAUAUGUUUUAAAACAGGAAUACUUAUUCCCGAUCUUAUUAAACUGAGGUAGACACUA